rnacentral:rRNA from 1 species
GACGAACGCUGGCGGCGUGCUUAACACAUGCAAGUCGAACGGAAUGGCCGCUUUCGGGGCGUACUCGAGUGGCGCACGGGUGCGUAACACGUGUGUAACCUGCCCUUGUCUUUGGGAUAACUUCUGGAAACUGGGGCUAAUCCCGCAUAGAAGCACCUCCCGCAUGGUGGUGGUGGGAAAGUUUUGGCGGUUGGGGCUGGACCCGCCGCUAAUGUGCUUGUUUGUGGGGUUGUGGCUUACCAAGGCUUAGACGGUUUGCGGGCCUGAGAGGGUGAACGGCCACACUGGCACGGGGAUUAGGCCCAGACGCCUAAGGGAAGAAGCAGUGGUGAGUAUUGGCCAAAGGGUGGAAGCCCGAUUCAAGAACGCCGUGUGCGGGGUGACGGCCUUCGGGUUGUAAACCGCUAUCGCUCAUGACGAAGCUUUGUGUGACGGUAGUGGGUAAAGAAGCACCGGCUAACUACGUG